rnacentral:lncRNA from 1 species
CAAUUAUAAAAAUUCGAUACUUAUUACCGAGCAUUUAGAUUCUUCCUCCCUGAAAGUUUGUUCCUUCAGAUCAGUAGCAUAACAACAAAUUCAACAUAGUACACUGAAACGGUUAAGUAACUUGAAAAAUUGUUACAGCUAUACUUUUCUUUAAUAACCAAGAACAUUUCAAAGUUACUAAUGUUGAGAUUUUUAUAUCACAAUAAGCUAUAAUACUGUGAUCUUGCUUGGGCAGUUUAAAAAUGACAACAAGAAUUUCUAUUUUGAUGAUCUCUAGUUCAAGAGCACAGCUUUAAUCCUCAGUCAGUACUAUAUUGCAACCAACUCCGAAGAGUACAAAACAGCAUAGCAAUUUAGCUGUUUCUAGUUGUCACGCCCCGAACCCGGGGCCCGGGACGCGAGCAGACGCCGCGCACCUGCAGGGCGGACCCCGCAGGCAUGCAAGGCAGAUAAAUCAGAUCAACCAUCAAUAACUAAAUAAAAAUAAAUUCCAGCU